rnacentral:rRNA from 1 species
AUACGGAGGGUGCAAGCGUUAUUCGGAAUCACUGGGCGUAAAGGACGCGUAGGCGGGUUGGCAAGUCAGAUGUGAAAUCCUACAGCUUAACUGUAGAACUGCAUUUGAAACUGCUAACCUAGAGUAUGGGAGAGGGAGAUGGAAUUAGUGGUGUAGGGGUAAAAUCCGUAGAUAUCACUAGGAAUACCGAAAGCGAAGGCGAUCUCCUGGAACAUAACUGACGCUAAGGCGUGAAAGCGUGGGGAGCAAACAGGAUUAGAUACCCUUGUAGUCC